AGUGAACGCUGGCGGUAGGCCUAACACAUGCAAGUCGAGCGGCAGCACAGUAAGAGCUUGCUCUUACGGGUGGCGAGUGGCGGACGGGUGAGGAAUACAUCGGAAUCUACUUUUUCGUGGGGGAUAACGUAGGGAAACUUACGCUAAUACCGCAUACGACCUACGGGUGAAAGCAGGAGAUCUUCGGACCUUGCGCGAUUGAAUGAGCCGAUGUCGGAUUAGCUAGUUGGCGGGGUAAAGGCCCACCAAGGCGACGAUCCGUAGCUGGUCUGAGAGGAUGAUCAGCCACACUGGAACUGAGACACGGUCCAGACUCCUACGGGAGGCAGCAGUGGGGAAUAUUGGACAAUGGGCGAAAGCCUGAUCCAGCCAUACCGCGUGAGUGAAGAAGGCCUUCGGGUUGUAAAGCUCUUUUGUUGGGAAAGAAAAGAAGCAGGUUAAUACCCCGAUGUUCUGACGGUACCCAAAGAAUAAGCACCGGCUAACUUCGUG
rnacentral:rRNA from 1 species